AACACCAGCACGUCUUAUAUUCUGAUAAACAGCAGCAGUGUGAAGCAUCACCGCUAAACAAAGACACACAGACAGACACGUUUCAGCCCAGAUUUAUACAAAAUGAAAAUAUAAACCUCAAUCUGAUUAGGUAGCAACAUUCCAGAGAUGGUGUUGUCCAGCAUUGGGGCUCCUCAGAGUUCAGUACUGUAGCUGUUUCUCUUUACCCUGUACACUGCUGACAUAUAAAUCUGAACUGUGUCACAUCCAGAAAUAUUCAGGUGAUACAGCAGUGUUAAAGCAUCAGCGAGCGACUAAUAUUAAUAACAAGACUUAUACAUGUCUACAGAUACUGUAGCUACUCCACACACCAAAACACUUUUUCAAAAACCCCACCUUUUAUCAGCAGGUGAUGCUCAGCUUCAGCAGCAGCCCAACACCCCCACAAUCAGCCAGCAUCAAGCAGAGCGUAAAGUAAAGCGGUGUACCACUGGUGAUGUGAAAAAGCUUUAAGCCUGUAAGAUGAGGUGUUGAGUGAGGGGGGCGGAGCUGAGUGUGUGUAGAGAGUAGAGAGGAUCAGCACACUGUCAUGCUGGUGUACUAAAGAGCUGAAACUCAGUGUGUUCUUCUCCCAGUGUGUGCUACACCACCAUGAUCAUUUUCACUGUACUGCUGCUCUCUGCUCUUACAGGUAACAGAGCUGAAGACGUCAUCACUCCUAGCAGAGACGCUGUUUUUGCUGUUGAAGGUCAGAAUGUUUCUCUCUCCUGUAACUACACUGUAACUGGAACCAGUUAUGGUCUUCACUGGUACCGACAGUAUUCAGGAUCAUCUCCCCAGUUCCUCAUACUGGACUAUGCAGGGGUCAUUACUAAAGCUAAACCUCCAGUUCCUAGAAUAUCCUUCAACCAUCAAAAAGAAAAGAGGAAAGUGGAUCUGAUCAUCUCCUCUACUUCAGUAUCAGACUCUGCUCUCUACUACUGCGCUCUGCAGCCCACAGUGACAGAAACCCACCAAACACUGUACUAAAACUUUACUUGUGAAAUAUGUAGAAACACUUAUAUUUCAGGAGGGGGCGCUGUUUCUCUUCUGCUUCUUUAUCUUCAGCUUCCUCACCAUUCAGGUUAGAACAUCAGUCUGCUUUGGAACAUCAGUCAUCAUGUUGUGACCUACAGUAAACUGGAACUCUCUAUAACCCUUUAUAAAUGUUUACUGAUACUUCUGUAAAAUAUGUUACAUUAUAUUGUUUGUAGAAACAUAUUAACUCUGAUUUUUAUUCACUUUUUAUAGACUAUUUCAAUGAAUUUCCUAAUUUCAAGAGAAAUGCAUUGUUUAAGUUGACACCACACAAAUUCAAUGAACCCCCUAUGGCAUGAUGUUGCCCACAGUUCAGAGAUCAGUCUCCCCGGACUAUUGAGGGCAACUACGCUCUCUUACACCUGAACUGAAUCUUGCCUGAUUAGUUUCCCUAUAUAUAUCUGGACUCUGUCUCUACCUCUUUGCGAGAUAUUUCCACUCUGUGACAUUAUUGAGCGUUUGUAUCACUGUGUUUUUCAUUUCCUGGCUUUCUGAUUCUUUGCCUGAUUUUUUACUACGGUUUUUGCAUUGCGUUUAUGUCCAUUAAAAUCAACUCUGCUUUUGUGUCCAA